rnacentral:lncRNA from 1 species
ACCGGCGCGCGGCUGGAGGCUGGGAACCAGCUCCUGGGUCUUAGUCAGAGGUUCACAUCCACCAACUAUCUUCCCAGGGUUGGACUGAGAAGGGGAGCAGAGGGUCCCAGGGACUCUCCUGAGAUCCUGGCUCUCCUGCCAAGGAAUUUACAUUUCCUUGUCACAGGACCAUGUAAGAUAUCCAACUACUCUGAAACUACCACACUGUGAAGAGUCUAACCAAGCCACCUGGAGAGACCAAACGGAAGAAAACUAAGGCCCCUGGCCAACAGCCCUAGCUGUGCUCCUACUGG